rnacentral:rRNA from 1 species
GAUGAACGCUGGCGGCGCGCUUAAGACAUGCAAGUCGAACGGAACUUAGCUGAAUGUUUACAUGAGGCGAAAGUUUAGUGGCGGACGGGUGAGUAACACGUGAGCAACCUGCCUUCGAGAGUGGGACAACAGAGAGAAAUUUCUGCUAAUACCGCAUAUGACCACAGUACCGCAUGGUACAGGGGUGAAAGGAGUAAUCUGCUCGAAGAUGGGCUCGCGGCUGAUUAGCUAGUUGGUGAGGUAACGGCCCACCAAGGCGACGAUCAGUAGCCGAACUGAGAGGUUGAUCGGCCACAUUGGGACUGAGACACGGCCCAGACUCCUACGGGAGGCAGCAGUCGGGAAUAUUGCACAAUGGGGGAAACCCUGAUGCAGCGACGCCG